CUGCGCCGGCGUGGCCGCUCUGCCCGGGCCGCCCCGCAGGCAGGCGCCGGGCGCCUCGGGGGGCUCCUGGCGCCCGCAUUCAGUCGCGACUCCAGUGCCCCGGCCUCCCGAGAGCAGGGGCCGGCAAAGCGGAACCACCCGCACCCUCCCGGCGGCGGCGGCGGCGUCCCAGCCCACGGCCGCGCUCCUGCCGCCAGGGACGGCGCCCGGGCGGGCUUCGGUGUGCAGGAAUAAGAGCGUUCAAAGCCCUCUUUUGAGAAAAUUCAACUUACUGCUGAAGCCAGUGCCAUGGAGGAAAGCCGGCAGCGACGGCACCACAAGCGGGUUCCUCGCACACGCUAGGAACCCAUCCUGCCGGCGGCUGAUGAACAACCGGUCACAAAAGUCCCUUUCAGUGGAGAGAACGACAAACUCACCAGGAAGACGGGCGCCAACAGCUCUCUGGGCAACUGAUGUUGUAAACUGAACGAAUCCAUGUAUUCAACUGUGUCAAACUGAAGCCACUUAAAGACCCUCUUCAGUGCCUCUGGAAAAAGAAAGUCAGCAGACACUUGUCAAACAUAAACAAUGAUAAGGAAGAUGAGGAAACUCCAUGCUCUGCACAGUACAACAGGUAUUGGCAGAAGCAUUCAGAUCUCACCAAUAAACUCAUCUCACUGAC